AACUUUAUCAGAAUGACACUUUUGCCCUAAAACUUUUGCUGUGUUUACGAUUCAGUCCUUCUGGCAGCCACCACGCAAGUUGCACCUGCAACAGGCAUCGGCCAGCCUACCCUCCCUAGCUACCUGCAACCUGCAAAAAAAGGAGAAGAAAAAUCAGUUUAAAAAGAGGUUUUGAACCCCCAAAAAUUUUCAGCCAAGCAAGAAACAAAAACAAAAAAAAAAAUUUCAAAGCCAAAAGAAAAAAGGCAAAGAAAUUCCAAAACAAAAAAAAGCUCUCAAUCCGGCCGAUUGCCUCCACCGCCACCACGUCCAUCGCGCCACCACCAUUGUCAUCUCACCGUCGAGUCCUAAACGCAAAAAACAAAAACAAAGAAAAAAACAAGCAAAAGAGAAAAAGAGAAAGAGCAAAGAAGAAAAAAGAAAAAGGAAAAGGGGGAGAGCAUACCUCCGUGCGCGCCACCGUCGGCCGUCGCACCAGGCGGAGAGACGUCACCGGUGACAUAAGGGGGGUCCUGCUGAUCGGGGAAGAAAGAAAGGAAGAAAAAGAAGAAGGAAAGAAGAAAAGGGGAAGAAGAAAGAAAGAAAAAAAAGAAAAAAGAAAAACUUAAAAACAAAGCAGGCCCAAACCAAGCCCAGCGCAGCCCAAUCCAGGAGCAGAUUCAGCCCAACAAGAAGCAGGCCAGCCCAGUCCAGCGUCAGGCCCAGUGCUCAGCAGCCCAGCAGUUUCGGCCCAGUCCUUUGGCAGCCCAAUAACAG
rnacentral:lncRNA from 1 species